GGGGGUUUAGCUCAGCGGCAUAAGCGCCUGCCUUGAAAGCAGGCAGUCGUGAGUUCAGUCCCCG
rnacentral:tRNA from 1 species